GCUAAAGACGGGGAAAUUUUGAGAAUCGUCACAAUUACCUAGACAUCAUCUCCAACUGAAAUUCUGUCCUCAUGGGCCUCAUAAAACAAACUCAUUCUCCUCUACAUGAUGAUAAGGUUGGCGGAGAGGCCGAGAUUGUCAGCGUCUACAGGCUCUGAGGAGGGAGCCCACAAAUUGGGAAUCAGACCUCUGAGGAGCGGAAUAUUGCCAGGCUGAACUGGUACCACUGGAUGUUGGAUUGGUGGGAGAUCCUUCAGAGCUGGGGAUCAGAGAUCUCUUAGGAGACACUCUCUGGCAGGUGCUGUGAGACUUAAGGAUAAGCAAUAAGGCCACCUCUGCGUGUAUAGAAAAGAUGGACCCUGCAAGCAACUGUUGCUGGAGACCAAAGCUACUGGCAGUGAAGUGUCACUGCUGGGGUGACAGGGCAAGAGCUGAAAGACAAGAGGUUAAUGUGGCACAGAGACCUUCGUGCCCCCAAAUCACCUGCAGCCCUUCAAUUAUACGUCUUCGAGAAUGGUUUCAAGUCUCCUCAUUAUCCAGGUUGAUAAUCUGUAUUACGCUGCAGUUAGCCAAUGUCCUGCACCAGACGCAAAGCUCAAAGUGUGGUAUAAGGAAGAGUGGGAGGGCCAGUGCAUUAACUUCCCAAGCUUGGGCAGUGCAUUUGCAUAAACAUCACCUUUGCCGAAAUGGAUAAAAUUUAACUAUAAAAUAAAUCAUGAAAACUCCUGAAUACCAAAUGCAAGCACAAUCAAUAUUCCUCUUUGUUCACGUUCGAUUGCUCUAGAGCUACAAUUCUCAAAGUAAACUCCAGAAACUACCAUUUCAAAGUGUUUAUAAUUUUAUGUGAAAAAUAAAACAGGUAAACAAGC